UGGCUCAGUGGUUACAGUACUCGGUUGCUAACUGAAAGGUCGGUGGUUCAAACCCACC
rnacentral:tRNA from 1 species